GGCUCAGAUUGAACGCUGGCGGAAUGCUUUACACAUGCAAGUCGAACGGUAGAGGGGCAACCCUUGAGAGUGGCGAACGGGUGAGUAAUAUAUCGGAACGUGCCCAGUCGCGGGGAUAACGUAGCGAAAGUUACGCUAAUACCGCAUACGAUCUAAGGAUGAAAGCGGGGGAUCGCAAGACCUCGCGCGAUUGGAGCGGCCGAUAUCAGAUUAGGUAGUUGGUGAGGUAAAGGCUCACCAAGCCAACGAUCUGUAGCUGGUCUGAGAGGACGACCAGCCACACUGGAACUGAGACACGGUCCAGACUCCUACGGGAGGCAGCAGUGGGGAAUUUUGGACAAUGGACGCAAGUCUGAUCCAGCCAUUCCGCGUGCAGGAUGAAGGCCCUCGGGUUGUAAACUGCUUUUGUACGGAACGAAAAGGUUUCUAUUAAUACUAGGAGCUCAUGACGGUACCGUAAGAAUAAGCACCGGCUAACUACGUG
rnacentral:rRNA from 1 species